rnacentral:lncRNA from 1 species
GUCAGUCGAUCGUUAUUUCUGUUUGUUAUUUUGGUGUUCAUUUUGUAUUCAUUAAAACGUCGAGAUGAGCAUUCACAUACCUGCUGCGUUUUGGUCCUCUUUAACCGACGACAAGCGUGACACAACUGCUUUAAAUCCUCUGUGUCUGUCAGCUCUUACAGCAGCCAGGUCAGAAUAUGUUGUUCAACCAUGUUUCUCAAAGGUCAAAUGUUGAAGUUGUUCCAAAUGUCAAAUUUCGAUGUGUUUAAGGUUAAGUUUAGAAAUGAAGGUUAAGUUAAGGUAUUAACUGAAGAGUUUUUAAGGUUAGGGUUAAGUUAAGAUAUUAAUUCAGAGUUUUUAAGGUUAGGGUUAUGUUAAGGUAUUAAUUCAGAGUUUUUAAGGUUAGGGUCAAGUUAAGACACUAACUCCAAAUUCUUAAAGUUAGGCAUUAAUGAAUGGUUAAGGUAUUAACUCUGAAUGGUUAAGGUAAGGGUUAAGGUUAGGCAUUAAUGAAUGGUUAAGGUAAAGGUUAUGGUUAGGCAUUAAUGAAUGGUUAAGGUAAGGGUUAAGGUUAGGCAUUAAUGAAUGGUUAAGGUAAGGGUUAAGGUUAGGCAUGAAUGAAUGGUUAAGGUAAAGGUUAUGGUUAGGCAUUAAUGAAUGGUUAAGGUAAGGGUUAAGGUUAGGCAUUAAUGAAUGGUUAAGGUAAGGGUUAAGGUUAGGCAUUAAUGAAUGGUUAAGGUAUUAACUCUGAAUGGUUAAGGUAAGGGUUAAGAUUUGGUAUAGGCUUAAAACAACAAAAGUUUUAAAUAACUUGCAACCUUUUCAAAUAGAGGCAGAUGCUUACACAACGUCCUAGCAAAACUGAAAGCUAUUUGAAGGUAACAGAGCUCACUGUUGCCCCUGGUGUCCAGUUUCCACGUCAUCUCCCGAUGUCCUCAGACAUGGAUGGACGUUGAAUACUGACUUGUAUCACGGGUGACCUGGCUGUUAAAUCCACCACCUGUUUGUCUGAGCAGAUAAGAGAAUUCAGUGGGAUUCUGUAUAUAACUCCUUU